rnacentral:rRNA from 1 species
UACGAAGGGUGCUAGCGUUGUUCGGAAUUACUGGGCGUAAAGCGCGCGUAGGCGGCGAUACAAGUCAGGGGUGAAAUCCCACAGCUUAACUGUGGAACUGCCUUUGAAACUAGAUCGCUUGAGUGUCGGAGGGGAUAGCGGAAUUCCUAAUGUAGAGGUGAAAUUCGUAGAUAUUAGGAGGAACACCGGUGGCGAAGGCGGCUAUCUGGACGACAACUGACGCUGAGGCGCGAAAGUGCGGGGAUCAAAC